GUAGUCUGCAACCCGACUACAUGAAGCUGGAAUCGCUAGUAAUCGCGGAUCAGAAUGCCGCGGUGAAUACGUUCCCGGGUCUUGUACACACCGCCCGUCACACCAUGGGAGUCAGUAACGCCCGAAGUCAGUGACCCAACCAUAAAGGAGGGAGCUGCCGAAGGCGGGACGGAUAACUGGGGUGAAGUCGUAACAAGGUAAC
rnacentral:rRNA from 1 species